CUUGCAACUUAUUAAUUGGUAAUAGACAGUUACAUAUUACAUUAUAAGUUGAAAAAAAUCUCUUGCAACUUUAUUUACCUUGAGUAAUAGAAUAUACACGUUGUCGCUGAUGGCGGAGGAAGAGACCGAUAUUAUUAUAACAUCGACGUCACCGUCAUGUUUGGAGCAAGGGAAAUUUCGUCGGUGGAAGUGUAAAUGUAUACGAGAUUAUCGACCCUAGCGAGCCAAGGGAGGUCAAGUUUGUUGGCAAAGAUAUUUCAGUCGCAUCGACUCAAAUCGAAAAGAAAAAAAAUUUGGCUGAGUUGAGAAUUCUGGAGCAGAUAAAACACCCGCGAAUUGUAGCCUUCUAUGGUUUCAAACAAAACCCGAACCUUCUAACCAUAUUUUACAAAUACAUGAAACUUG